CAAUGCAAUAGAGGUUGCGAUAGUCACGAAAUUAAUGCGAGUUUGCGAAGACUUUGACCAUUAAUUUUAGGGCUUUCGCCGAAAUGAACAAGACUUUCGUGAGUUGAGUUUGUUGGGUCGCAAGACAAUAUCUUGCGGACUGUCCUGGUAGUCCCCAGGGAGCGCUAUAUGAUUU
rnacentral:ncRNA from 2 species